UCACUGUCACUGUCACUGUCACUGUCACUGUCACCGUCACUGUCACCGUGUCACUGUCACCGUGUCACUGUCACCGUGUCACUGUCACUGUCACUGUCACCGUGUCACUGUCACCGUGUCACUGUCCCUGUCACUGUCCCUGUCACCGUGUCACUGUCACCGUCACUGUCACUGUCACCCUGUCACUGUCCCUGUCACCGUGUCACUGUCACUGUCACUGUCACCGUGUCACUGUCACCCUGUCACUGUCCCUGUCACCGUGUCACUGUCACUGUCACUGCCACUGUCACCGUGUCCUGUCCCUGUCACUGUCACCGUGUCACUGUCCCUGUCACUGUCACUGUCCUUGUCACUGUCACUGUCCCUGUCCCUGUCCCCGUGUCCCCGUGUCCUGUCCCUGUCACUGUCCCUGUCACUGUCCCUGUCACUGUCCCUGUCCCUGUCCCCGUGUCCCCAUGUCCUGUCCCUGUUCCUGUCACUGUUCCCAUGUCCCUGUUCCCUGUCCCUUGUCACUGUAUCCUGUCCCUGUCCCCUGUCCCCUGUCCCCAUCCUUGUCCUCAUCCUUGUCUCCAUGUCCUGUCACUGUCCCCUGUCCCCAUCCCCGUCCCCUGUCCCUUGUCACUGUGUCCUGUCACUGUCCCUGUCCCCGUGUCCCCAUGUCCCCAUGUCCUGUCACUGUCCCUGUCCUUGUCACUGUCCCUGUGACCCUGUGUCUCUUGUCACUGUCCCCAUGUCGUGUCUCUCUGUCCUGUCACUGUCCCCGUCCCUGUCCCUGUCCCCUGUCCCUGUCCCCAUCCCCGUCCCCGUGUCCUGUCCCUGUCACUGUCCCUGUCCCCGUGUCCCCAUGUCCUGUCCCUGUCCCUGUCACUGUGACCCUGUGUCCCUUGUCGCUGUCCCCAUGUCCUCUCUGUCCUGUCCCUGUCCCCGUGUCCUUGUAUCCUGUCCCUAUCCCCUGUCCCUGUCCCCCUCCCUGUCAUUGUCACUGUCCCCUGUCCUCAUCCUUGUCCCCAUGUCCUGUCCCUGUUCCCCAUCCCUGUCACUGUCCCCAUGUCCCUGUGUCCUGUCCCUGUCCCUGUCCCUGUCCCCAUCCUUGUCCCCAUGUCCCUUUCCCCUGUCCCCGUCCCUUGUCACCGUGUCUUGUCCCCUGUCCCCAUCCCUGUCCCUCUCCCCUGUCCGUGUCCCUCCCUGUCCCCGCUGUGUCCCCUGUCCAUCACUGUCCCUGUCCCCGUCCCUGCUGUCCCCAGUCCCCGUUCCUGUCCCUGUCCCUGUCCCUAUCCCUCACUGUCCCCUGUCCCUGUCCCUGUUCCUGUUGCCAUUCCCAAUCCCUGUCCCUGUCCCUGCUGUCCCCAAUCCCUGUCCCUCACGGUCCCUGUCCCCAAUCCCUGUCCCUCUCCCUGUCCGUGUCCCUGUCCCUGUCCCAUUCCUGUUCCUGUCCCUCACUGUCCCUGUCCCAUCCCUGUCCCUCACUGUCCCUGUCCCAUCCCUGUCCCUGUCCCUGUCCCUGCUGUCCCCAAUCCCUGUCCCUCACUGUCCGUGUCCCUCUCCCUGUCCCUGUCCGUGUCCCUGUCCCUGUCCCAUUCCUGUUCCUGUCCCUCACUGUCCCUAUCCCCAAUCCCUGUCCCAUCUCUGUCCCUGUCCCCGUCCCUGUCACUGUCCCUGUGUCCUGUGUCCCUGUCCCUGUCCCCAGUCCCUGUCCCCGUGUCCCUCACUGUCACUGUCCCUCUGUUCCUGUCCCUCCCUGUCCCUGUCCUUGUCCCUGUCCCCAAUCCCUGUCCCCGUCCCUCACUGUCCCUGUCCCUGUCCCAAAUCCCUGUCCCUGCUGUCCCCAAUCCCUGUCACUGUCCCAUCCCUGUCCCUGUCCUGUCCCUGUCCCAUCCCUGUCCCUGUCCCUGUCCCCAAUCCCUGUCCCCGUCCCUCACUGUCCCUGUCCCCAUCCCUCACUGUCCCGUCCCUGUCCCUGCUGUCCCUGCUGUCCCAUCCCUGUCCCUGCUGUCCCCAAUUCCCGUCCCUCACUGUCCCUGUCCCCGUCCCUCACUGUCCCUGUCCCUGUCCCUGUCCCUGUCCCUGUCCCUGUCCCUGCUGUCCCCAAUUCCCGUCCCUCACUGUCCUGUCCCUGUCCCUGCUGUCCCUGCUGUCCCAUCCCUGUCCCUGUCCCUGCUGUCCCAUCCCUGUCCCUGUCCCUCACUGUCCCAUCCCUGUCCCUCACUGUCCCAUCCCUGUCCCUCACU
rnacentral:lncRNA from 1 species